GUGCAUGAUUUCUGUGCCCUCGAUAUUUUUGGGCUUAAUGGGCCAAAAUUGGAAUGAUGGGCCAACGGGCCCAAUUCGAUAGGGACCCUCGGAAAUCCCCAACCAUAGUGGGCUUGGAGCUGUGAGGGAAUUCGGAGUGGCCACCCGUUCUGAAAGUUUGAUUUUCUUCUGGUGAACUGGACAUCAUUUUAUUUACGUCUGAAGUUUUUGGGCUUUUAAAUGUAAUAAGGCCGCUUAAUUAUUUUUGAUGGUUUUAAUAUGUAUUACUAAGAUAGGUAAUACUUAUUUUAACUGUUGAAAUUAGAUAGCUUUAGGGCGCGUUUUCAAAAACAACAGUUGAUUUCAAAAUAACACGACAACAAGCAAAGCUUCCGCAAUGAAAGUAUUUUUCCAAAA